UCACCAUCUCCUUGUCUCCCUUCUGUGCAGCUCUGCUGAAAUAUUUCAGACUGAAACAUCUGUGCGUUUGGAUGGUUCUAUCUUUACAGGCCUGGCUGCAGGAACCCAUUACAGUGAAGUAGAGAAACUCAGCCAAAGACUGGUUGGAGAGCAAUGGUGUACCCCAAAUUCAAAGCCAGGGCUGCCAGGAAAAGAGGAAUAUAGGGCGUCUGCUUCCUCCUCACUACAUGGAGCGACUUGAGAAACUGCAAGUUGCUUCUGGUGUGAGAGAAUUGGCCGUCUGCAAGGAUGUUGCCAAGUAGACGUCCGGAUGUUUUGAUGUUUUAACAUCCUUGUGGGAGGCUUCUCUCAUGCCCCUGCAUGGAGAGCUGGAGUUGAAAGGAGCUCAUCCACGCUCUCCCUGGAUUUGAAUCAGCAACCUUCAGGUCAGCAACCCAACCUUCAAGUUAUCAGUCCUGCCAGCACAAGGGUUUAACCCACUGUGCCACUCCAAACAGUAAAGGCCUGGAUAUAAUGGGCUAAGAAGUGUCUGGGAAAACAAUUAUCUCAUUGUAAUUGAGAGCAUCCCUGUUGACUCUUUUGGAUAUGGAGAAAACAAAGAGAAGCGGACAGGCACUGGUGAAGUUGUGGAAAGCCAAUGGAGGCCUGACUAGUGCUUGGCCAUCUUUUCAUCCAAGCAAGAUUAUCAUCUCUGCCUCUAGGACUAACUCCACCAUAAUUAAGUAUAUGUAGGAUUGCAGCCUUGGUCAUAAGAAUGAAAAUAAAUGGGCAAGGCACUAAAUCAUCAAAUAGUUGUGGAGAACCUUGAGGAGGUCAUUGCUUGUGAAUGCUCAGAAUGCUGGUGAAUCUUCAAAGCACAGCCAAUGGCCUUUGGUUUGAUCCAGCAAAGAAAUACUCCCCUUCAUACACAAACAUCUGGAAAAGCUCUUUGCUUUCUGCUAAGGAGUGAAGGUUUCCAGUUUCCAGUCCUGACAUCUACCGUGGUGGGAGGAAACUGAUCUCCCUGUUAACACCCACUACAGAUCCUCCCAGAUUCAGAGAAAGCAGCUGGGAGAGGGGGGCAAUGAGAAAUUAACAAAAUAAACAAAAAAGGACCUGUUCCAAGACUGGUUCUGUCAUGCAUCACAGGGAGGUAACCACUUCAUCUGGUAAAUGCAUACUGAGGAGGUCAAUGUGGGCACCUCCUUUUUCUCCCUAACCCACCUCCCCCAGACAUUUGACUUUCUUGAAGAACAAAAUUGUGUAUGGCACACAUUCCAUUCUGCAGACUCUAAGCAAGCCUGUUUGCUCUCCUGUGUGCUGAAAGAUGGUAUCCCAUUGCCAUAAUUAAUGAUCAGGUCAUUUUGCAUCUUAUGGGGAAGGGCACCAUCUUGUCCUUUGCUGCCCCGGGAGUAGAUUUUUCUAGUCCUAAAAUGCGAGUGACACGGCUCCCUUCUUUCUAUCCCACAACUUUCGACAGAAAAAUGAAAAGAAGCCAGUGGGGGCCUGACUAAUUCCAUUUUGGUUAUCCUUUCACCCAGGACAGUGGUUCUCAACCUGUGGGUCCCCAGGUGUUUUGGCCUACAACUCCCAGAAAUCCCAGUUUACCAGCUGUUAGGAUUUCUAGGAGUUGAAGGCCAAAACAUCUGGGCACCCACAGGUUGAGAACCACUGAUCUAGGGCAUCACACUGAUGAGGUCCCCUGUGCCAAUUUGCCAGCCUCCAUGGCGAAUCAGUGGGUGGGGCAGUGGGGCAAUCCUGGCGCCCUGUGACCCACCUUGCCGGAAGCUUCCCCCCGCACCAACCCCAUUGUUUCUAAUGGAACAUGGGAAGGGUCCUGUGUUGCGGCGCAGUGUUAUAGGACACUUGUGCCCUGAUUGAGCCCCGGAGCCCGCCGGAAGUGAGCCUGCAUCAUCUGAUGGGUGGCAUGGGUCUCUGUGGCUCAACUGGGGUGAAAUAUAUAAUAAUAAUACAUCUUUAUUUGUACCCCGCCACCAUCUCUCUAGGGGGAGUUGGUCACAGAAGCACUACAGUGCCACAUCUGGACCACCAUACAUAAUAUACAAAUAUAAAAUAUAUAACAUGGGUAUAAAAACAACAAUGUAUGUAAAAUCCCAUUGAAAAAUAUAAGAAUUAUAAAAUUCUUAAAAUGCAAUAAAACCAGCAAAUAAAUUAAUAAGUGUCCUAGGAUGCUGAAAAUGUAGUGUGUGAUGAAGUCUCUAGUAAUGGGUGCGUCCAGACUGAUCAAAAAUCUGAGUGUGUUUCUGCUUUUUUUAAAUUUUAUUUUCGAGAUUCAUAUAUGUUUUGUUUGUCCUAGAAUAUUUUCUAUAAGCUCCUGGUAUUGUCAGUUCUUCUCCUCCUCAUUAGUUCUCCAUUCUCCAUACCAGCGAAUGUGGUGCUGUUUGUGUAGUUUAUGCAGACUUACAAAACAUUAAAAAAUAAGUUACAUUUCAUUGGUUUUUAUCAAGAACAAAUAACAUUGGGCUGAGAGUAGGGAAUAAACAUAAUUUAAAACUCAUUGCUGAAAAUUCUUGUUCCUCAUUAGAACCCAAACAAACUGGGGAAUCUGGCUGGGGAGAGGAAGGUUAAAUGCAACUGCCUAUGGCCUAUAUCUAAGCUCUGACUCAUGACAGAUAGUAGGCUUAACAGUGAGCCCCAAAACUUGGCUUCGUAUCCCUUCAACUUAGUGUUAAGGGUGUAUAUUCAGCUCACCCACUGAUAAGUAUGACUUUGUUUCCACCAGAUGAAAAAAUUGAACUUACAACCUUUCACAGCUGAAAAACAAUACCAGAGUGUUAUUAGUAAUGAGGAAAAUCAAACAGACUAGAAGAAACUCCAGCAGUUUGCUUUUCUGAGUCCACAGGGAUGGGCAGAUUCACCCCGUCUUUUCCUCUUCCCCUUGCUGAAGCCCCAUCUACACUAUCUUAUAAUGCAGUUUCAGAAUGCAGUUUAACUGCAUUGAGCCGAGCCCACACUUCCACAUAAUGUAGUUCAAUGCAGUCAAUCUGUAUUCUAAAACUGCAUUACAUGGAACUUAGAUGGGGCCUAAGUGAACUAAGUACAAACUACUUUUGCUUUUUUGCUUUUGUAACUCAGUCUGGAAAAUUGAAGUAAACUAAGGAUAAAGGAAAAAUGGAAGGAGAAGAAAAAAUCCCAAGGAUAUUUUAAAUGCAACUGAAGAAGCAGGGCACUGGAGGAUUGAUAGGGCCUAUCCCUGCCAAACUAGGACAAACUGCUGUAGUAGCGUCAAAUACCGGAAGGUAUGUCUUAUUUUAUGGACUUUAUUUUUGUAUCUUGUUGUUGUCAUCUGCCAUGUUAGUACUAUUUGUACUUGAAAAUCUAUAUAAAUAAAAAUGUAAUGUCUCUCAGUGAGGGACCGCGUAUCGUCCAAACUACUUCACCGAUUGCUAUGAAAUUUGGACAAAACAUAGCAUUCGAACUGCUGAGUGUUUUAAGCCUACUCUCACAAACCUGACACACCUGAGAAAGGUAAAAUCAUACCCCUAAGCAACGGCCAAUCAGUCUCCUCCUCCCUUAGCUACCAUCAUAACAGACUGCUCCUCCUCUUAGCAGUGGCCAAGUAGUUUCCACCCUUUAGCAACUGGUGUGGGCGGGGCUGCAAAGGAAGGCUAAGCCCGCCUCCUCGCCACUCAUGAGGAGUUACGCAUCUGAGGCCUAGACACAGAUGGGGUGUCAGAAGCAACUUCAGAAACUUUAAGCAGCAAGGAUGCUACCCUGGGGAUACCCAGAUGUUUUACCAUCCUGUGGGAGGUUUCUCUUUAUAUAUCUGUGGAAGGUCCAAGGUGGGAGAAAGAACUCUUUUCUGCUACAGGCAAGUGUGAAUGUUCCAAUUGGCCAACUUGAUUAGCAUUACAUAGCCUUGCUGCUUCAAACCCUGCGUACUUCCUGCCUGGGAGAAACCUUUGUUGGGAAGUGUUUGUUAGCUGGCCCUGAUUGUUUCAUGUCUGGUAUUCCACUGUUUUCUGAGUGGUUUCUUUAUUUACUGCAAGAAAUGUUGCAAUUGGCCAACUUGGUUAGCAUUGAAUAGUCUUGCUGUUUCAAACCCUGGCUACUUCCUGCCUGGGGGAAUCCUUUGUUGGGAGGUGUUACCUGGCCCUGAUUGUUUCAUGUCUGGUAUUCCACUGUUUUCUGAGUGGUGUUCUUUCUUUACUGCAAGAAAUGUUGCAAUUGGCCAACUUGAUUAGCAUUGAAUAACUUUGCCGCUUCUGGUGUGAGAGAACUGGCCGUCAGCAAGAAUGUUGCCCAGGGAGGUUUCUCUUUAUAUAUCUGUCCAGGGUGGGAGAAAGAACUCUUUUCUGAGUAUUUUUCAAUGAACCAGACUGGGCCACAGCAACGCGUUGCCGGGUACAGCUAGUAUAACAAUAUUUUUGAAAGCAAUGGUGACUAUGUUUAGUGUUCUAACUGUAACAAUUCUUGAGUAAGUAUAAUUUGGAAAGGAGUAUACAUGCCUCAUACACCUCUUUGUGUGUAUGUGUCUACAUUUAAUAUACCGUAGAUAGUUUUUGGAAUAAAAAUCCCAGAAUCCCAACUGGCUAUGCUGAUUGGGGGAUAUUGGAGGUGUUACAGUUCUUUAAAAGUAAUGUGUCCAAGCUCUGUGAAUGCAUUCUUUAUAGGGACACUCUUGGGGAGCAUCAAUAUAUUUCAGUUAGUACAAAAUGUGUUAGAUAGGCUGCUAACCAGAACACAGCUGUAAUCAUAAAAGGCUGCUAACCAGGACAGAGUUAUAAUCAUAAUAUUAUCCUAUUGAAAUAUCUUCACAGGUUGCCAACUGUUCUAGUAGUCAAUUGUCUUUUGGGCUCAGCUCAAGGUGUUUGCAUUAACCUUUAAAGCUUUAAAUGGUUUAGGGUCUGACUACCUAAGAGGACCAACCAUCUGUCUCCUUAUGAUCCUGUCUGCAGUGGGAUGGCAAUAAAUGCUGAAAUACAAGCAUUUAUCAUGACAAUCUCCAUCACUGAGCCCCCAAGGAGAAUCCAAAAAUUCAGCCAGCUGUGAUCAUCUCUGUGUGUGUAUGUAUGACACUUAUACAUCAAUGACCAGUUUCUUAAGAUCAGCUGAUAAGGCAGAGUAAGGUAAAUGCAAAGGUUUUCCCCUGACAUUAAGUCUAAUCUGUGGGGAGUGGUGCUCAUCUCCAUUUCUAAGUCAAAAAACUGAUGUUGUCCAUAGACACCUCCAAGGUCAUGUGGCUGACAUGACUGCAUGGAGCACCAUUACCUUCCCACCAAAGCAGUAUCUAUCGAUCUACUCACAUUUGCAUGUUUUCGAACUGCUAAGUUGGCAGAAGCUGGGACUAACAGCAGGAGCUCACCCUUCUCCUCAGAUUCAAACUGCUGACCUUUAUUUCAGCAAGUUCAGUAGCUCAGCGGUUUAAUCUGCUGUGCCACUGGGAAGGCAUAGUAGGUUGGGAAAAGGCAGAGCAGUUGUUAACAUAUUGAACUUUCUCUGGAGAAAACUGAAACUGCAUGAUAAAGGGAAGAGUUGGACAUAUCACAGCCUCAGAUUUUGAAGGAGAUUCUUUUUCUGCAAUCAGGGAGAAGCGCUAUAUGGAAGAUUUUUCUUCCAGUUACCAUCAUCACGAGGUUCAGGUCUAUUUUUGCAAGCCUUCUCUGCCAAAGAGUGCUAGUGCCUCAUCAAACGACCACUCCCUGGAUUCCAUAGCAUUGAGCCAAGACAGUUAAAGUGGUAUCAAACGACAUGAACUCUGCAGUGUAGAUGCACACAUUGUUUCUCCUACUGCUCCCAAAUUGUGUAUCUCUCCUUGCUCUCUCCGCAGACUGCAGCCAGGAAAUUAGAAGACAUUUACUUCUUGGGAAGAGAGCAAUGACCAACCUCGAUAAAAUAGUGAAGGAUAGAGACAUCACACUGGCAACGAAGGUCCGCAUAGUUAAAGCAAUGGUAUUUCCCGUAGUAACUUAUGGAUGUGAGAGCUGGACCAUAAGGAAGGCUGAGUGAAGAAAGAUAGAUGCUUUUGAAAUGGGUUAUUGGAGGAAACUUCUGAGAGUGCCUUGGACCGCAAGAAGAUCCAACCAGUCCAUCCUCCAAGAAAUAAUGCCCGGCUGCUCACUGGAGGGAAUGAUAUUGGAGGCAAAGACGAAGUACUUUGGCCACAUAAUCAGAAGACAGGAAAGCUUGGAGAAGAGAAUGAUGCUGGGGAAAAUGGAAGGAAAAAGGAAGAGAGGCCGACCAAGGGCAAGAUGGUUAUCCUUGAAGUGACUGGCUUGACUUUGAAGGAGCUGGGGGUGGUGAGGGCGUGGGAAGGUCCAUGUGGUCAGGAAGAGUCGGAAGCAAUUAAACAAAUAAACAAGAACAACCCUGCUCACUCACCUUUUAGGAAAGCAGUAAAGACGUUGUUUGAACUUGGUCAUUUACAUUGUGAGUAAUAGCUUUCAUGUUUUAAUAUAGUUGGACUGUUUAUCUAUAUAUAUAAAAGAGUGAUGGCAACAAAAAGAAAAGAAAAAUAAAGUCUUAAUUAGAGGGAGAGGAAUAAUUGUUUUUACCCAAUUGCUGCCUGUUACAAGGCUAAGUUCCGCCCAUUUGGUCUCCUAGCAACCUACUCAGCACGGGGGCAGGCACAAGAGUUUGGAGAGACCCCUAAGGGCCAUCCAGCCCAACCCUUUCUACUAUGCAGCAGGACACAAUCCAAGCAUUCACAACACAUGGACAAAAUAUAAAUACAAUACUACACAGGGACAUAGACCCCCCUCUACCCUCACCACUUUCACAGUACACAAACAACUAAAUGCAUACUAAACAUAAAGACAACCAUACAACAGACAUUCAAUACCACCACUACCUCAACAAUUUCUCACCAACACCACCAGACAACGCCACAGCAACGUGUGGCCGGGCACAGCUAGUAUGUUAUAUUUGAGUUACUGUGCACCACUGUUUUCAGAUAGUGAGUUUCUGUACACCACUUUCUUUGUGGGAGGUUUUCUGUAAAAAUAUAAAACAAUGGCAUAAUAGUUUGUGUUCCUCUUUCCUCUCCAUCCCUUUUUUAAUUCUAGUGUCCAUUUAUUUAUUUAUUUCUAUGCCAUUGCCAUUGUGGUUUUCCUCAAUGCAGGUAUUUAAACGGAAAUGUAGAAUUAUGCUCUAAACACAUAAAAUUCACUUCACUCAGAUAUGUCAGCCAUACGAAACCUCUAUCCCACAGGGCAUAGUUCAGGAAGGGCUUUCUUCCCCUCUCGGGCCCCUUCCUGUCUCCAUGACCGUAACCCCUCUCCCGAGGGAGUGGAAAGAGUUAUUGCAACGAGAUAACACAGGGUGACUCAGACAGAGCUUGAGGGAGCAAUUUCUCUGAGCCCAGGCGUAGCUGCUUUGCAAACUGCCCUGAUGGGAAAAAUGAACAGCAUGGAGAGGAACAGGGUCUCAGCUGAGAGAAGCAAGCCUGGAUGGGUGAAAAUCGCCUCCCUUCCAUCCAUGGUGAUGCCCAUUUGAAGAGUGUGAAGUACCUUGUGCAAGAAAGGUUCCUGUGAUGCCAACAUCUAGUUUGCGACUGUCUUCUACCAAUCUAUUCUUCUGUUAGCCAGGUCAUUACUCUUCAGUGGUUCAAUGAAAUGGUUUUAUAAAGGCACUAGCUUUGCCCGGCCACGCGUUGCUGUGGCGAAGUCUGGUGGUAUGGGAAAUAAAGUAUUGAGGAAUUGGUGGUAGUUAAGGUAAAGAGUAAACGUUUUCCCCUGACAUUAAGUCCAGUCGUGUCCGACUUUGGGGGUUAGUGGUUAUCUCUAUUUGUAAGCUUGAAGAGCUGGCGUUGUCCGUAGACUCCUCCAAGGUCAUGUGGUAUGACUGCAUGGAGUACCGUAACCUUUCCGCUGGAGUGGUACCUAUUCAUCUACUCUCAUUUGAAUGUUUUUGAACUUUAGGGUUGGGAGAAGUUGGGGCUAACAGUGGGGGCUCUGUCUGUUCCUCGAAUUCAAACCUGCAACCUUUCGGUCCAGAAGUUUAGCAGCUCAGCGCUUUAACACGCUGCACCAUCAGGGGUAUUAUUUUCGUAAGGUUGUGAAUAUACAAUAUUUUUGAUUGUUUUUGUCUGUUGGAGGGAAGUAUGAAUGCUGCAAUUAGGAAAAAUGAUUAGCAUGUAAUGACCUUGUAGCUUUAAAGCCUGGCUGUUUCCUCCC